rnacentral:rRNA from 1 species
GAUGAACGCUGGCGGCGUGCCUAAUACAUGCAAGUCGAGCGAAUGGAUUAAGAGCUUGCUCUUAUGAAGUUAGCGGCGGACGGGUGAGUAACACGUGGGUAACCUGCCCAUAAGACUGGGAUAACUCCGGGAAACCGGGGCUAAUACCGGAUAACAUUUUGAACCGCAUGGUUCGAAAUUGAAAGGCGGCUUCGGCUGUCACUUAUGGAUGGACCCGCGUCGCAUUAGCUAGUUGGUGAGGUAACGGCUCACCAAGGCAACGAUGCGUAGCCGACCUGAGAGGGUGAUCGGCCAAACUGGGACUGAGACACGGCCCAGACUCCUACGGGAGGCAGCAGUAGGGAAUCUUCCGCAAUGGACGAAAGUCUGACGGAGCAACGCCGCGUGAGUGAUGAAGGCUUUCGGGUCGUAACACUCUGUUGUUAGGGAAGAACAAGUGCUAGUUGAAUAAGCUGGCACCUUGACGGUACCUAACCAGAAAGCCACGGCUAACUACGUGCCAGCAGCCGCAGUAA